ensembl:lncRNA
GAGAGCUUUGGUGAUAACUAAGUGGAUAUUUUAUUACUGCAAUAUUAAUUUCUUGCUAGAAAUUACAUCAAAAGUGGAAAACUUUGAUCAAAAACAAACUUUUACACACAAACUGACCACCGAGCGCAACUUUCAGACGCCAUCUUUAUUUUUUGGCUUAACUGUCACGGAAUGGAACGCACAGGAUUGUGGGAUAUCAAAGGCAGCGAAGGAUAUAUCUAUGCUGCCUUCAAAAAUCGGCCAGAUGAAGGCAUCUCAGGAGACAGGAACUGCAAAGCUAACAUUGAAUUCGGACGUGCCUUGAUGCCCUCCUACCUUGGAAUGCGUCCUUAGAAGGCAGCAUUUUUCAGUUUUCGGAUGCAGAAUUGGAAUUAGAAUUUGUAGCUAGUGGAUUUUAUUCUUAAAACGUCCCAUGCUGAAGUGCCCUAAAAUCCAGAUCAUCCCAUGCUUGACAACUAUAGACAUGACUUUGAAGUGCCCUGCAGUUACAGAAAGAUGCCAAACCUCCAGCAAUCUCUCAGAAAGCAGCCAUGUGAAGCCAGCACUGAAGGUAGAGGAAGUGAAUGAUGGAGAGAUGAGAUUUCCCAAAAUCACUGUGCCCUCAAAGUUAGACUCGAUGACUCUCACUGUUCCCGUAACAAAUCUGACGCCCCGCAGGUCAGUGUUUAUCAAUCUGAUCUAAUAAUAUGAUUUACUAGCUAAAUAUUAUGCAUACAUAUAAUGCUAUUUCUCUGAAAGUCCUGUUUUUUUUUCUUUCCACUCUCAGCAAAGCUGUGGAUUCAGAGUAAGUUGUUCUUUGUGUAGUUUUGUAAAACUAGAGCUGCUAUAAACUGUAAUGUGUUGUAUGUUGUUGUUCAGAAGAAUGCAGGAGAUGGCUCCUAGUGAGGAAGAUGAAGACAUGAACAAGUCUGAUCUACUUACUGUGAGUGAGUUUUAAAAAAAUCCAUAUAGUUACUUUAUACUCAACUGAGAUGUCAUACUUCAAUCUGACAUGACUUCCUCUGGUGUGUUGUCAUUUCCUGUAGAGGCCUCGAGCAUCCAGCGUCUACAUCCAGCCAGACAAGUAUUGUUGUGAAUGAGCGUCUGCAGGAGCUGGUCAAGCUGUUUAAAGAGUGAACAGACCUUGCAAGAGAGAGAAUGGUGCAUCCAGAUGAUUCUGAUGAUGAAAGCCCUCCAGCACGUGGGUAGACUUUUAUUUGUGGUUUAUUUCACUGUAUUAGUUCAGUAACGUCAGGUCAAGGAUAGAUCGAUUCUUCACCUUUGGUAUUUGAACCCUAGCUCCGGCAAAAAAGCCUGGUGAAGCCCCAUCUCCACCACCUCCUCCAGAGGAAACGAAAGACGCUGAAGAGGAGGUUAAAGUCUACAAGUUUAUGGGAUACAAGUUCCCAGUCCCUCAGUUCAAAAUGCCCCAGAUUCCUGCUUGGCUGAGAGUCAUACUGGAGUACCCUUUCCCAUCCAGCAUUGAUCCCUACACAGGUGAGAUCUACAACCAGCAAGAGUGGAUGAGUUCUAUUUAUACAAACAAACGACCUUAUUAAAAGUGUCCUAUAAUGAGAAGUUGAUAUGAUUUUUUUUUCUUUUGAAUACGUUUCCUAAUCCAAAAAGACAGUCUAUUGAAACCAAGAAACAAAAACAGGCCAUGAGUGUGUGUUUAAAAAUACUGUGUUGUCUGUUUUCAUUUU